AUGAAGGACCACAACUAUGUAAAACUGAAGAGCAUGGAAGAUUCUAACAAAAAGCUCAUCAAACGGUUAGCUACAAAAAAUGGUAUACUAUGCGCGAAGAACAGAAGAAUUGGGCAGCUCACAACAGCCUUUCGCAUCUUCAUAGCCACGUCAACACUGCAUUGCCAAGAAAUUCACACACUUGUAGCAGACAACCAAUCGAAUAGAGAAGCAGAGGUUGCCACACCUUCCGGCUCGUGUUUCAUGGAACUGGAGAAGCUCACAUCAGAUCUUCAGUGUCUGAUCAUUAAAGCAACUGAGAAAGUGCAGUCCGUUGGUGGUUACGAGGAUCAAUCACAGUCUGACGAUAGCGAGGCCGAUCAGUUUCCACCAUACUUUGGACCAGAAGAUGAAUACACUGGACCAAGCUGCCUUGCCGAUGAACCUUACUACGAUACAGACGAGUAG
rnacentral:rRNA from 1 species